CCUAGGGGAUGUUCCUCUUUUAUACUCUUUCGUAUGUCUGUUUUAUUCACACGUCUCUAGAUUAUUGACCUAGCUUAACCUUGUUUCUAACGAACUACAAUUAGGUCGGUGAGAACGUUAUUACACUCUAACCUAAUUAAUGGAUAUUAAGUAUUCAGCUUAGGUUUAGAUAUCUAAAUAUGACGACCUUCUCUGAUAUUAGAAUAAAAAUAGGACAUUAAAAUAAAUAGAAUUUAUAUUUAAACAAUAAGAAAAAAACAACUUUGACUCGAACUAAACAUAAACUGGUUGUCAAGAGAGUAUUUCGGAUAACACAUAAAGACUAUCUUUAACAGCUGAUCGUUUCUUAACGUGAAAAGAAACUAGACGGUUAGGAAAAGAAAAUCAGAAAGAUGUCUAAAAAGACUGGUGUUGCAAUUUUUGGCUUAGGUCGAGCUGGAUCAAUUCAUAUAAUGAAUUGUAUCAAGAAUUUUCGAAUACAAGUCGUUUGGUUAAUUGACGUAGAUUUGGAUCAUUGUAAAGAAAUAAUCAAUAAAUACUGUCUUGAUGGUACACGUUGUUGCACACCGAACGAAACUCAAUUGGUGUUUGAUGAUGAAAAUGUUAGUGCUGUCCUAAUCUGUUCUCCAACAUUUACGCAUGAAAAUUUGGUAAAAACAGCUUUGGAAAAUGGAAAGGCGGUAUUUUGUGAAAAACCUAUUUCCAAAUCAUUGCAGGCGACUAAAGAAUGUUACGACUUGUCUGAAAAGUCUAAAUUACCAUUAUUCUGCUCUUUCAACAGACGAUUCGAUCCUAGUAUUUCAUCAAUCCAAGAACAAAUUAGACAAGAUAAUCUUGGUAAACUAUAUACAAUAAGAACGUGCAGUAGGGAUUGUCCACUACCUUCUAUGGAUUAUUUAAAAUCAUCUGGUGGAUUUUUUCACGACUGUGCAGUUCACGAUAUCGAUAUGAUUUGUUGGAUUUUAAAUGAAUAUCCUAAAUCAGUAUUUGCGGUUGCAACAGCUCACGAUAGUAGAAUUCGUGAAAUGAAUGAUUGGGAUACGGCCGUUAUAACUUUAAAGUUUGAUAGUGGCGUUAUUGGUGUUAUAGAAAUAAGUCGAUUCUCAGAGUUUGGCUAUGAUCAGAGACUCGAAAUUCAUGGUAAAACUGGAAUGUUGACGUCUAAUUUUCAAUUUCAAGACUCUACUGAAUCGUUUACGAAAUCAGGAAAAUUGAGCACUCCGCUAAAAUGGUCUUUCAAUUCAAGAUACGCCGAAAGUUAUGUAAAUGCUUUGGAAACGUUUAUAGACGCCGUAAGAACGGGAAAAACGUUGGAAAUCUGUAAAAGGUCAACGGUUCGAGUGAGCGAGAUUGCGGACGCAUGCGAAGAAUCUAUUAAAUUGAGUCAAUUGGUUGAAAUUCACUAUAGCGAAGAUUGAAGGCUUUUGUUCGUUUACAUAAGAUAAUUAAGGUCUUUUCAACAAUUCUACUUGUAUAACUCGACCUAAACUCAUAAUAUAUCUACCAAACAGCUUGGUUUUCUUUAUAUUUUACCUCGAAUAAAAAAGAAAUAACAGUACAACAACCCUCCAAAUGCUAGAACUUCCUGCACUCUAUUGAAUCUAUUAGCAGCAUUAUACUACUAUUAUUUAUUACAAUUUCUUUAUUAUCAUUCAUAAAUGAUAUUUUAUAUCUAUAUAUCUAUAGUAUUACUGUAUUUCUUGAUACUUUAUUUUCUUUAGUUAGG
rnacentral:misc_RNA from 1 species